rnacentral:rRNA from 1 species
AUGUAUCCAAUAGCAUGGGCACUUGUGGAUAAGGAGACCAAUGAAUCUUGGGACUGGUUUUGUAGCUUGUUGUUUAAUGAUCUGAAAGUUGGAGAUGGUGAUGGGUGGGUUAUAAUUUUUGAUCAGCAAAAA